UGAAUAACUGACCCGCCAGAUGGGUUACAGUGGCGCCUGAACAGGGACCUGAAGUAUGGUCAACUACCGGACUAUGAAGCAGAAACCCCGGGAAGAGGAUUCAAGGACCCCACAGACCGCAUCGCUCGUGCGUCGCUAGAGGGGCAGAUCAGCCUGGGCUGCAACACCACAUCUCCAGGUCCUGCAAGAGGCAAGAGGGGCUUCCGGGCGGCCAGCGGGGAGAAGUCGGUGUGCUCCGGUGAAUCCAGCAGGCCCCAGUGGGAGCCUUCAGGUGUCUGCUCCGGGAGCUGAACAGCCUGGGCCACAGCACCCUGUCUCCAGGCAGUGCAGGAGGUUGAAGGCCUGUGAGAUAAAUGCCGCCAGCGGUGAGAUAAGACCCUGCAGAGGCUCACCCUGAUGGCGAAUGCCUUCGAAGUCAGUACGAUGCUUUUCUUUCUGAUAUUCUGAAACAGCAACAAUGGUCCCUUCAUUUGUUUGGGUGAGCUGUCCUCUGUCCUCCUUGAAUAGUCCUUGAGGAUAAGAAGGGAUGAACUGAGAUGGGAAAUGUGCAGCUAAUAGUAUAAUCACGGAAGACUUCUGGUGCACAUGUGUCUAUGGAUUGUGUACACAUGUGUGGAAACCAGAAGACGAUCUCUGAUGGCCAUCCAUCAUCAGAUGCCAUCAACUUCAGUUAUUUUUCAGAUGGGAUUUCUCACUGGAACCUGAGAGUAAC